rnacentral:rRNA from 1 species
CCAAUAGCGUAUAUUAAAGUUGUUGCAGUUAAAAAGCUCGUAGUUGAAUUUCGGGAUCAAUAUGCUGGUCGUGCCAUUGGUACGUACUAGUAUUAUUGGUUUCUUCCUUCUGAUGAAUCAUGAUGUCAUUAAGUUGAUGUCAUGGGGAAUCAGGACUGUUACUUUGAAAAAAUUAGAGUGUUUAAAGCAGGCACGUGCUUGAAUACAUGAGCAUGGAAUAAUGAAAUAGGACGUUUGAUUCUAUUUUGUUGGUUUCUAGGAUUUACGUAAUGAUUAAUAGGGAUAGUUGGGGGCAUUAGUAUUCAAUUGUCAGAGGUGAAAUUCUUGGAUUUAUUGAAGACUAACUACUGCGAAAGCAUUUGCCAAGGAUGUUUUCAUUAAUCAAGAACGAAAGUUAGGGGAUCGAAGACGAUCAGAUACCGUCGUAGUCUUAACCAUAAACUAUGCCGACUAGGGAUCGGAUGAUGUUAAUUUUUUAAUGACUCAUUCGGCGCCUUACG